UACGCAGGCGGAAGAUUAAGUCAGUGGUGAAAUCCUGCAGCUUAACUGUAGAACUGUCAUUGAUACUGGUUUUCUUGAAUUUAGUUGAGGUAGGCGGAAUGUGUAAUGUAGCGGUGAAAUGCUUAGAUAUUACACAGAACACCGAUUGCGAAGGCAGCUUACUAAACUAUGAUUGACGCUGAGGUACGAAAGCGUGGGGAGCGAACAGGAUUAGAUACCCUGGUAGUCC
rnacentral:rRNA from 1 species